GUGGUGCCGGUAUUCUAAAUGUUGGUACGCCUAACAAAAUGUCAAAUAUUGUCUGUUAUUUUGUUAUUGUUUUUUCUUUGCUAACCUCAAAUUUGCCUUAAAAUUAAAAUCAUCUCUCUAUAAGAAAUACAAUCAGUGGAUAUCAUGGUUAUUACGUUACGUGAUACACUAUUAUCAAUUGCUAAUUGCUAUGAAAAAGGAUAAUUCAAUACUGAAAUACAAAAAAGAAGAUCAUGGUUGAAAGUUCGGAAAAAUAAAUAACUGUGGUGAUUUUAAGGUUUAGGGCUUGCCUGCAAUUACGCCUGAGUUGUUAUCGAAGAUGUAGCCUACGGUUGGAACACGCUAGCACGCUGUAGACGGAAGGUAGACGUACCACCAAGCGAUAUAGCAUUCCGGUACGAUGUAGUGUAGAAAUCGAAAUGGGUGUAGAUAUUCAUCCUCCUCCUAACAACUUAGCCCGCUCCCCCCCGCUUAUCAUGACUUACCAACAGAAUGUCUCGUAAGCAUCCUCUUGGUGAGGAAGAUCUUGAUUUGGCGAUAAUGUGGAGAUAGUGAAGAUGACUUAUUAGUUAGCAUAUACUCAAUAGGGUCUAGGGCCGUCAAGAGUGACAAAAAGCUAAGCAUACCAUGGAUUCACUGUGCAGACACCGGGUCCACUCGGAGAAUAACUCUGAGCAGAGUCCUGGAGUUAAGGAAUUUCUUGAGGAUCAAUCAACAGUCCCCUCCUCUGUUCAUAACAUCCGUACAUUUUGUGUAUGAUUCCGAAUAAUGUUUGUACAAAUAAACGUUUUA